AAAUUGACGGGGCCCGCACAAGCAGUGGAUUAUGUGGUUUAAUUCGAAGCAACGCGAAGAACCUUUACCAGGUCUUGACAUCGUGCGCAUACUACAGAGAUGUGGGAAGCCCUUCGGGGCGCACAGACAGGUGGUGCAUGGUUGUCGUCAGCUCGUGUCGUGAGAUGUUGGGUUAAGUCCCGCAACGAGCGCAACCCUUACGAAUAGUUGCUACGCAAGAGCACUCUAUUAGGACUGCCGUUGACAAAACGGAGGAAGUGGGGAUGACGUCAAAUCAUCAUGCCCCUUAUGACCUGGGCUACACACGUAAUACAAUGGCGGUCAACAGAGGGAAGCGACGCCGCGAGGCCGAGCGAAUCCUCAAAAGCCGUCUCAGUUCGGAUUGCAGGCUGCAACUCGCCUGCAUGAAGUCGGAAUUGCUAGUAAUCGCGGAUCAGCACGCCGCGGUGAAUACGUUCCCGGGCCUU
rnacentral:rRNA from 1 species